CCGCUGGAUUUAAGCAUAUAAAGAGGGAAUUGUGGUCUGGUGUUGGAGUCCUUGGAAAAGGGCAGCUGAGAGGGUGAGACUCCCGUCGUCGAGUGUUAUUGCAGCUCAAAGAGGGUGGUAAAUUCCAUCGAAAAAUAGGUGGGACCGUCAGAGGGGUCAUACUUCUCUGUCCGCUGCGUCAGGCGCUGCUUGUUUGGUCAGRCUUGCUUGUGAGUGGCGGAAAGGUGUUACGGAUUGAGGUUGGCAAAAUGGUUUCUACCCGUCGACA
rnacentral:rRNA from 1 species